UACGGAGGGUGCAAGCGUUAUCCGGAUUUACUGGGUUUAAAGGGUGCGCAGGCGGAUAUGUAAGUCAGUGGUGAAAUCUCCAGGCUUAACCUGGAAAUUGCCGUUGAUACUAUAUAUCUUGAAUGCUGUGGAGGUAAGCGGAAUAUGUCAUGUAGCGGUGAAAUGCUUAGAUAUGACAUAGAACACCAAUUGCGAAGGCAGCUUACUACGGAUUGAUUGACACUGAGGCACGAAAGCGUGGGGAGCAAACAGG
rnacentral:rRNA from 1 species